AAAUUGAAGAGUUUGAUCAUGGCUCAGAUUGAACGCUGGCAGCAGGCCUAACACAUGCAAGUCGAACGGUAACAGGAAGCAGCUUGCUGCUUCGCUGACGAGUGGCGGACGGGUGAGUAAUGUCUGGGAAACUGCCUGAUGGAGGGGGAUAACUACUGGAAACGGUAGCUAAUACCGCAUAACGUCGCAAGACCAAAGAGGGGGACCUUCGGGCCUCUUGCCAUCGGAUGUGCCCAGAUGGGAUUAGCUUGUUGGUGGGGUAACGGCUCACCAAGGCGACGAUCCCUAGCUGGUCUGAGAGGAUGACCAGCCACACUGGAACUGAGACACGGUCCAGACUCCUACGGGAGGCAGCAGUGGGGAAUAUUGCACAAUGGGCGCAAGCCUGAUGCAGCCAUGCCGCGUGUAUGAAGAAGGCCUUCGGGUUGUAAAGUACUUUCAGCGGGGAGGAAGGGAGUAAAGUUAAUACCUUUGCUCAUUGACGUUACCCGCAGAAGAAGCACCGGCUAACUCCGUGCCAGCAGCCGCGGUAAUACGGAGGGUGCAAGCGUUAAUCGGAAUUACUGGGCGUAAAGCGCACGCAGGCGGUUUGUUAAGUCAGAUGUGAAAUCCCCGGGCUCAACCUGGGAACUGCAUCUGAUACUGGCAAGCUUGAGUCUCGUAGAGGGGGGUAGAAUUCCAGGUGUAGCGGUGAAAUGCGUAGAGAUCUGGAGGAAUACCGGUGGCGAAGGCGGCCCCCUGGACGAAGACUGACGCUCAGGUGCGAAAGCGUGGGGAGCAAACAGGAUUAGAUACCCUGGUAGUCCACGCCGUAAACGAUGUCGACUUGGAGGUUGUGCCCUUGAGGCGUGGCUUCCGGAGCUAACGCGUUAAGUCGACCGCCUGGGGAGUACGGCCGCAAGGUUAAAACUCAAAUGAAUUGACGGGGGCCCGCACAAGCGGUGGAGCAUGUGGUUUAAUUCGAUGCAACGCGAAGAACCUUACCUGGUCUUGACAUCCACAGAACUUUCCAGAGAUGGAUUGGUGCCUUCGGGAACUGUGAGACAGGUGCUGCAUGGCUGUCGUCAGCUCGUGUUGUGAAAUGUUGGGUUAAGUCCCGCAACGAGCGCAACCCUUAUCCUUUGUUGCCAGCGGUCCGGCCGGGAACUCAAAGGAGACUGCCAGUGAUAAACUGGAGGAAGGUGGGGAUGACGUCAAGUCAUCAUGGCCCUUACGACCAGGGCUACACACGUGCUACAAUGGCGCAUACAAAGAGAAGCGACCUCGCGAGAGCAAGCGGACCUCAUAAAGUGCGUCGUAGUCCGGAUUGGAGUCUGCAACUCGACUCCAUGAAGUCGGAAUCGCUAGUAAUCGUGGAUCAGAAUGCCACGGUGAAUACGUUCCCGGGCCUUGUACACACCGCCCGUCACACCAUGGGAGUGGGUUGCAAAAGAAGUAGGUAGCUUAACCUUCGGGAGGGCGCUUACCACUUUGUGAUUCAUGACUGGGGUGAAGUCGUAACAAGGUAACCGUAGGGGAACCUGCGGUUGGAUCACCUCCUUACCUUAAAGAAGC
rnacentral:rRNA from 1 species